UUAGUUCCUGGGUGUCUCUCUGCAUUCUCCAGGCUUCUUCUUUGAUCUUAGUCAUAAGCAGGACCCGCCCCCACCGCGAGGCCGUGCGUGCCUGUAGAUCUUGUUCUCUCUUGGCGACUUCGUGGUCUCGAUUAGCUGGACGCGCCGUGUGCAGAGAGACUCCCGUUGUAAGACGCGCAAUACACGACGAUCAGUUGGGGCAAGAGAAGCGUCUCCUACCCCGCCUGCCUGCCCGGAACCUGUGUAUCACCUGGUGACCUGGCCUAACGUACACACCUUAGAACGUAUAGAUACAUAACUCCUUAAAUAUCGUCCGUACAUACGUCACGGGCUGGGUAGGACGAUGUCAGCAGAGACCUCACAUGCCCCCCCUUUGGUGCGCUAUUAUGCAGACCUCAGACCUAGUGGUCCCUGUAAACCCCUCUGCCCCCCUUGGGCCCUUUGCCAAUGGCCAUCAGGAGGUCCCUGGGCCGCAAAGGGAUUCAUAGAUUCUAAAGACACAAGGGGCCACUCAGAUAAUUUCAUCGGCUUUCCUGUCGAAAGCCGGCCACAGGACUGCCCUGCGUUAAUUCCUGGUGGUGCUAGAGGGGGGAAAAAAGAAACAUCCCAUCUGGGUUUAAAAAUUGUCCGGGACGGAGAAUCCACCAUGACUCUGGGUGAGUUGUUCCAAAGGUUGGCUGCCUUCGCUGUUAAAAAUGCACACCUUAUCGCCCACCUGGAUGUGCCCGGCUUCCGUGUCCAACCACUGGGUCCUGUUAGACCUCCCUGCGCUGGACUGAGGUGCCCCUUUUCAACGUGUUCCCAGGCAGGUGUUCUAACCCUCCGAUCAUUCUCGUGACUCUUCUCCGACCCCUCUCCAAUUUACCAACAUCCUCCUUGAAUUGUGGGCUCCAGAACUGGACGCAAGAUUCCAGCAGCGGUCGCACCAGGGCCAACUACAGAGGGGAAAUAAACUCUUUGCUCCUGCUUGAGAUUCCCCUGUUGAUGCAUCCCAGGGUCACACUAGCCCUUUUGGCCACAGCGUCAUGCUGGGAACUUGUGUUUUGUAUCCAACACAACUCCCAGGUCUUUCUCAGAGUCACAGCUUCCCAGGAUGGAGUUCCCCAUCAUGUCAUUGUUAAAAAUAUCCAGUAGUGAAGGGCCAAGAACUCAUCCCUGCGGGACCCCACUAGAAACGGACCCACUUGAUGACUAUUCCCUAUUUACAGUUACCUUUUGAGACCUGUCACUUAGCCAGCGAUAAUCCAUAUAAUGUGG